GAUGAACGCUGGCGGCGUGCUUAACACAUGCAGGUCGAACGAAGCAUUUGCGACAGAUUUUUUCGGAAUGAAGUUGCUUAUGACUGAGUGGCGGACGGGUGAGUAACGCGUGGGUAACCUGCCUUGUACUGGGGGAUAGCAGCUGGAAACGGCUGUAAUACCGCAUAAGCGCACAAUGUUGCAUGACAUGGUGUGAAAAACUCCGGUGGUAUAAGAUGGACCCGCGUCUGAUUAGCUAGUUGGUGAGAUAACAGCCCACCAAGGCGACGAUCAGUAGCCGACCUGAGAGGGUGACCGGCCACAUUGGGACUGAGACACGGCCCAGACUCCUACGGGAGGCAGCAGUGGGGAAUAUUGCACAAUGGAGGAAACUCUGAUGCAGCGACGCCGCGUGAGUGAAGAAGUAAUUCGUUAUGUAAAGCUCUAUCAGCAGGGAAGAUAGUGACGGUACCUGACUAAGAAGCUCCGGCUAAAUACGUG
rnacentral:rRNA from 1 species